GUAGGUGGCAAGCGUUGUCCGGAAUUAUUGGGCGUAAGACGCGCGCAGGCGGUUCGUUUAAGUUCUGAUGUGAAAGACCCACGGGCUCAACCGUGGAGGGUCAUUGGAAACUGGAGAACUUGAGUACAGAAGAGGAAAGCGGAAUUCCACGUGUAGCGGUGAAAUGCGUAGAGAUGUGGAGGAACACCAGUGGCGAAGGCGGCUUUCUGGUCUGUAACUGACGCUGAGGCGCGAAAGCGUGGGGAGCAAACAGGAUUAGAUACCCUGGUAGUCCACGCCGUAAACGAUGAGUGCUAAGUGUUAGGGGGUUUCCGCCCCUUAGUGCUGCAGCUAACGCAUUAAGCACUCCGCCUGGGGAGUACGGCCGCAAGGCUG
rnacentral:rRNA from 1 species